GAAAUGCGAUAAGUAAUGUGAAUUGCAGAAUUCAGUGAAUCAUCGAAUCUUUGAACGCACCUUGCGCCCUCCGGCUAUUCCGGAGGGCAUGCCUGUUUGAGUAUCAUGAACACCUCAACUCUCAUGGCUUGCCGUGAUGAGCUUGGACUUUGGGGGUCUUGCUGGCCUACAGUCAGCUCCUCUCAAAUCGAUCAGCUUGCCAGUGUCUGGUGGCAUCACGGGUGUGAUAACUAUCUACGCUUGUGGUGUUUCCACCAGGUGUCCUCCAGCAAUGGGGGCCUCUGGAGCUCAUAAACGUCUCUCCGGAGACAGCUUUUCGAACGUUUGAUCUCAAAUCAGGUAGGACUACCCGCUGAACUUAA
rnacentral:misc_RNA from 1 species